rnacentral:lncRNA from 1 species
GACAGAUGGGUUAGUAUUAUAGGUGUGGUACUAGACAGAUGGGUUAGUAUUAUAGGUGUGGUACUGGACAGAUGGGUUAUGGGUAGUAUUAUAGGUGUGGUACUGGACAGAUGGGUUAGUAUUAUAGGUGUGGUACUGGACAGAUGGGUUAUGGGUAGUAUUAUAGGUGUGGAACUAGACAGAUGGGUUAGUAUUAUAGGUGUGGUACUGGACAGAUGGGUUAGUAUUAUAGGUGUGGUACUAGACAGAUGGGUUAUGGGUAGUAUUAUAGGUGUGGUACUGGACAGAUGGG